CACACAGAUGCGCAGUUAGAGAGAGAGAGAGAGAGAGGGGAGGGGAAAGCAGACAGGAUUUAGAGUUCAAGUGCACGUGCAGAAAAUAGGCUGAAUAGAGGAGAGACGGAGCAGAAAGGAAACCAGGAAAAGGAACGGCAGGGGCUUCAGACAAAGCACACAGUAGCUCUUUCUCUUCCUCUUUUCUUUCCUCUCUCUUGCAGAAAGAGGAGCCUCGGAACGGACGGAGGGGUGAAAAAAAAGAAUAGUGUAAGAAUGAAAAAAAUGUACUCCUAUUCCUGCUGCCCCCUCCUCUCCUUCUUUCCUCUCCCCACCGCCGACACACUCCUCCUUUAUCCCUCCCGCUUGGAUAUUUCUCCAUUAACCUCCACUCUUUCUCUCUCUUCUCUCUCCGGCUCUCCUUUUUUUUUUUUUUUUUACUCCCCUCCCACCUCUUCACACACAUGCACACGCCCCGGACUCCUUCCCACUCAUUUCCCCUCAUGCGCGCUUACUAUCCACUUUCACUGGAGACCGACCGCAAUGAGCUCAGUUUUUUCCUUCCCUUUUUCUUUCGCCUGCUGUUUUUCUUUGCUUUCGGUUGUGCCCUCCUGUACCGGAGGGGCAGCACCACACUGACGCUUCUUCACCCUCACUGUUGGCGGCGUCCCUGAAAAAUGCAGGCCGUGGAUUUGUCACUGCAUUAGACUGCAUGCCACCAAAACCGCUUGUCCUUUCCUGUAAACAUUUUUUUUCUUUUCCUUCUUGCAGCAUUUUUUUUGUUUUUUUCAACUCGACUUCUGCUGUCCAGAAAUAUCUGUGUUCUCAAGCGCGAGCUGAGGGGUUGAAGAAAGAGGAGGAAAAAAAAAGAAUCAUGUCUGAUCUGAUGAAUGGACAUAAGGAGGCUAAAAGAAUGAGGGGAGGGAAAAAUGGAGAGCAUGGUCUGCGAGAGAAAGCAAGAAAGAGUGAGGAAGAGAGGGAGAGGGUGAAAGACGUAGGAGAAAAAGAGUACCGGCACUGGCGAGAAAAAACAGGAGGGGGAAGAGAGGAAAAGGAGGACCAGUAGGGGAUAGACUUAGGAAGGAGGGACGGCUGGAUAGGAAUUGACAAAAUCGCGGGAAAAAGGAGAAAAAACAAAACUCCAGAUUGAGACCAAAGUGGACUUUUCUCCAAACUCAGACUCUGUGGCCGCCUCUGAUUUUUGCUUCCUGCUCUGAUUUUUUUCCCACCACCCUCUCAUUCAUCUAUUGAGCCCGAGACAUCCAAAACUUCCACACCUGAUUUUACAGGGAAUGCCAUGGUCAACCUUAGAAGCUCCCCAGUGAGACGAGAGCCAUGGGAAAAAGCUCCGGCUAGAUCCUGGUUCUGAGGUAAAUGCUUCGACAACAUCUGUUUCUUCCACACUAACAAAGACUCUGAAUGUGACUGAAAUGAAAGAGAGAGCAAACAGCUUGACAGAUCAGAGCUGGUGAUGGAGAACGUUGGCUUCAAACAUCCAGAGACACAAACAUUUUGAUGUCUCUUAGCUUUUUUUCUCUUCUCUGACAGUCUUUCUCCGUCUCCUUCUGUCUCUUUUAUUUUCACUCUCAUUGUAAAACACAAGUUUGUUCUAAUUGUGUUGACGCAAACUUGCCGCCACUAUAAAGAGGCUGCUUCGCAACUGGUUCGACACAUUCAGACCUGUUGGUCGAAGUCAGAGGGCCAUUAUUGUAUGUUAUUCAAUGUAAGUGCGUAUGGGAUCUCACAUAACUGCCCACAAGAUUACUCUCUUUCUAUACGUCUCUCUUUGACGAACACACAUCUUACCAAAAAAAAAAAAGAGCAUUUUAACCUGCAAAAACUGCCUUGCAUCAUCUGUCACCCACAGAGUCAAACCAGCAAUAAGAAAACCAAUUUAAAACGACACAUUGGAUGCAUAUAAAAAACCCCAUUAUGGAAUAAGAACAUUAAAUUGUUUGUGCGCAUUUUUUUCAUGCUUAGAUGUGCUGUGUGCACUGUGAACACACAAAUACACACACACACACACACACACACACACACACACACACACCAUCUCCUCUCCUACUUACACACACACACACACACACACACACACCAUCUCCUCUCCUACUUACACACACACACUCACACACUGGCCCACACAACCCAAUAGCCAUUGACAACAGUGCCCUAGCAACCAUUGGGCAUCAUGCCAAGCCACUGAGGUUGCCUGGUAGUGUGUUCCCAUGGUAACGUUUUCUGCCUUUGUAAAUAAGGUACGAGGAGAGCGAAAAGGGGGGUUUGGGAGAAAUUGCACUGCAGAAUCUCAUUCUAUCUUGAGAGAGCUAAUAAUUUAUGGUUUGUGAGCAGCAGAUUAUUAUCCUGUAUUCUUACUGAGGAGGUCCGUUAGCAUCAGCGGAGAUUUCAGGUCCAAGUCUUCGCCACAUAUGAUCAGAUCUACUUUUGCGGAGGACAAGGGAGAAGCAUGUAACCCGUGUCUGCUUUGGUGGUCGCUAAAUUACUUAUUUCUUAUUAAAUUCUGUGCGAGAAUAGCGAUUAAAUUUAAUGUCUACAUUGGACGCGUUUUCUAGAAGUAUUUGGUGUAUCCAUUUGUUUGUCUAUCCACAUAUUACAUUUUUUCACAGUGACUCCCUCUAUUUUAACUGUGUUUUCUGAUUCUAUUUUUUUUUUUUAUUUCUUGCAAUCAGAAAACAAUUAUGUCGAUACAAACAGCGUGUAGAGUCAAGCGGACCAGCGGUGGUCCUUAGCCCUGAGUUUUAGAACCGCUGUCUGAGGCCUCCAUUCCUGUUGAGCUGGCUCUUGCCACUUUAUUUGCUGUCACUGGGCAGAUUUCGCUCCUCUCUGC